AGCAUCUCAAUAUGUUUAAUGAGCGUUCGCAUCUACCUUUAACAUAAUUACAAUGACCCUUGGCUGACAAAUUGUAGUCUAAAACCAUUCCUAAGUACUUAACUUCGUCACGAAAGGAGAUUGUAGAUCCAUCAUAGGAUAAUUUUUCAUUAACAGUUUUUUUCCUUGGAGAGAAUAAAAUUGCAGAGGUUUUCGGAACUGAAAGGUCUAACCCAUUAUUAUUUAAAUAUAUAUUUAGCUCCUUCAAACUAGAAUUUAUAAUUUCGCAGGCCUUUUGAACGGAUCUAUUUCUAGAGUAAAGCACUAUGUCAUCGGCAUAUUGUAAAAUGGAUAUAUAAUCUGGCAAAUUAGAACUAAGGUCGUAUGUAUAUACAUUAAAAAGUAAAGGGCUUAGAACAGAACCCUGUGGUAGUCCUUUCCAAACAGUCCUAUGUAAUACUUUAUCAUCUAAAUCUAACCUAAUCGAUCGUUCAUAAAACAUAGCAGCAAUAAUAUUACACAAGCGUACAGGAACUCCCAAGAGAAACAAUUUAUUUACAAGAAUUGAUAUAUUUACAUUAUCAUAGGCAGAAUUGAUAUCUAUAAAACAAGCUACUACAUAUUCCCGUUUCGAGAAGGCUAAAAGGAUAUCCGAAACUAACAAACUAACACAGUCUAAAGUGCUUCGGCUUUUGCGAAAACCAUAUUGAAUAUCCGGUAAUAGUUUCUUACUUUCAAUAAACCACUCCAACCUAUUUUUAACUAAAUGUUCCAAAAUCUUAAUUAAAACAGAUGAUAACGCAAUUGGACGAUAAGAAUUUGGAUCAUUACGGGGUUUAUUCGGUUUGAGAAAGGGUAACACCAACUGUAUUUUCCAGUUUGGUGGAAUGUCACCUGUCAUAAAAAUCCCGUUAAUAAUAUUGAGAAAGUAACCUAUAACCUUGUCACUAGAAUGUUUCAAAAAUGAAUAUGGAAUACCGUCGCAACCUGGUGCGGAAUCAAUGACAUACGAUAAGACAUUCUUUAGCUCCAAUAACGAGAAUGGAUCAUUAAAACGCUGCAUGUUAUCAUUAUCAAUAUUGGUUGGGGAAGCCAGUUCAAUACACACGGGGGAUGGGACGAAUGGAGGAGCUAAUUUAUCUAAAAACUUCUCAGCUACUUUAGGAUCAAGAUUAAGGGUGUUAUUUUCUACAAAAGCUCCUCUAAACAUUCUAACCUUUCUCCAAACUUCUGACGGCUUCUGAACAUUCAGAAUCCCACCAUGGAGGGCUGGGAAUAUUGAAUUUAGAGGACUUCUUACGCGGAAAUACUUCAUCAGCUAUAUUAAUUAUAAACUUAGCAAAAGCAUCAGAAGUUUUAAACAAAUGUUCCCGAGAUACAUCAGGAAAAGAAAUAAGAAUUGGAAAAUGAUCACUGCCAUAGGAAAGUGGAAGUACCUCCCACAAUAAGGAAUGUGAAAUGGAAGAACUACAAAUUGAUAAAUCUAAUGCACUAGGAUUUUCAUUGGGAGCAGACCGACGCGUGGGAACACCAGAAUUUAAUAUACAUAAAUUAUAAUAAUCAA